rnacentral:rRNA from 1 species
GGUUAAGCGACUAAGCGUACACGGUGGAUGCCCUGGCAGUCAGAGGCGAUGAAGGACGUGCUAAUCUGCGAUAAGCGUCGGUAAGGUGAUAUGAACCGUUAUAACCGGCGAUUUCCGAAUGGGGAAACCCAGUGUGUUUCGACACACUAUCAUUAACUGAAUCCAUAGGUUAAUGAGGCGAACCGGGGGAACUGAAACAUCUAAGUACCCCGAGGAAAAGAAAUCAACCGAGAUUCCCCCAGUAGCGGCGAGCGAACGGGGAGCAGCCCAGAGCCUGAAUCAGUGUGUGUGUUAGUGGAAGCGUCUGGAAAGGCGCGCGAUACAGGGUGACAGCCCCGUACACAAAAAUGCACAUGCUGUGAGCUCGAUGAGUAGGGCGGGACACGUGGUAUCCUGUCUGAAUAUGGGGGGACCAUCCUCCAAGGCUAAAUACUCCUGACUGACCGAUAGUGAACCAGUACCGUGAGGGAAAGGCGAAAAGAACCCCGGCGAGGGGAGUGAAAAAGAACCUGAAACCGUGUACGUACAAGCAGUGGGAGCCUCUUUAUGGGGUGACUGCGUACCUUUUGUAUAAUGGGUCAGCGACUUAUAUUCUGUAGCAAGGUUAACCGAAUAGGGGAGCCGAAGGGAAACCGAGUCUUAACUGGGCGUUAAGUUGCAGGGUAUAGACCCGAAACCCGGUGAUCUAGCCAUGGGCAGGUUGAAGGUUGGGUAACACUAACUGGAGGACCGAACCGACUAAUGUUGAAAAAUUAGCGGAUGACUUGUGGCUGGGGGUGAAAGGCCAAUCAAACCGGGAGAUAGCUGGUUCUCCCCGAAAGCUAUUUAGGUAGCGCCUCGUGAAUUCAUCUCCGGGGGUAGAGCACUGUUUCGGCAAGGGGGUCAUCCCGACUUACCAACCCGAUGCAAACUGCGAAUACCGGAGAAUGUUAUCACGGGAGACACACGGCGGGUGCUAACGUCCGUCGUGAAGAGGGAAACAACCCAGACCGCCAGCUAAGGUCCCAAAGUCAUGGUUAAGUGGGAAACGAUGUGGGAAGGCCCAGACAGCCAGGAUGUUGGCUUAGAAGCAGCCAUCAUUUAAAGAAAGCGUAAUAGCUCACUGGUCGAGUCGGCCUGCGCGGAAGAUGUAACGGGGCUAAACCAUGCACCGAAGCUGCGGCAGCGACGCUUAUGCGUUGUUGGGUAGGGGAGCGUUCUGUAAGCCUGUGAAGGUGUGCUGUGAGGCAUGCUGGAGGUAUCAGAAGUGCGAAUGCUGACAUAAGUAACGAUAAAGCGGGUGAAAAGCCCGCUCGCCGGAAGACCAAGGGUUCCUGUCCAACGUUAAUCGGGGCAGGGUGAGUCGACCCCUAAGGCGAGGCCGAAAGGCGUAGUCGAUGGGAAACAGGUUAAUAUUCCUGUACUUGGUGUUACUGCGAAGGGGGGACGGAGAAGGCUAUGUUGGCCGGGCGACGGUUGUCCCGGUUUAAGCGUGUAGGCUGGUUUUCCAGGCAAAUCCGGAAAAUCAAGGCUGAGGCGUGAUGACGAGGCACUACGGUGCUGAAGCAACAAAUGCCCUGCUUCCAGGAAAAGCCUCUAAGCAUCAGGUAACAUCAAAUCGUACCCCAAACCGACACAGGUGGUCAGGUAGAGAAUACCAAGGCGCUUGAGAGAACUCGGGUGAAGGAACUAGGCAAAAUGGUGCCGUAACUUCGGGAGAAGGCACGCUGAUAUGUAGGUGAAGUCCCUCGCGGAUGGAGCUGAAAUCAGUCGAAGAUACCAGCUGGCUGCAACUGUUUAUUAAAAACACAGCACUGUGCAAACACGAAAGUGGACGUAUACGGUGUGACGCCUGCCCGGUGCCGGAAGGUUAAUUGAUGGGGUCAGCGCAAGCGAAGCUCUUGAUCGAAGCCCCGGUAAACGGCGGCCGUAACUAUAACGGUCCUAAGGUAGCGAAAUUCCUUGUCGGGUAAGUUCCGACCUGCACGAAUGGCGUAAUGAUGGCCAGGCUGUCUCCACCCGAGACUCAGUGAAAUUGAACUCGCUGUGAAGAUGCAGUGUACCCGCGGCAAGACGGAAAGACCCCGUGAACCUUUACUAUAGCUUGACACUGAACAUUGAGCCUUGAUGUGUAGGAUAGGUGGGAGGCUUUGAAGUGUGGACGCCAGUCUGCAUGGAGCCGACCUUGAAAUACCACCCUUUAAUGUUUGAUGUUCUAACGUUGACCCGUAAUCCGGGUUGCGGACAGUGUCUGGUGGGUAGUUUGACUGGGGCGGUCUCCUCCUAAAGAGUAACGGAGGAGCACGAAGGUUGGCUAAUCCUGGUCGGACAUCAGGAGGUUAGUGCAAUGGCAUAAGCCAGCUUGACUGCGAGCGUGACGGCGCGAGCAGGUGCGAAAGCAGGUCAUAGUGAUCCGGUGGUUCUGAAUGGAAGGGCCAUCGCUCAACGGAUAAAAGGUACUCCGGGGAUAACAGGCUGAUACCGCCCAAGAGUUCAUAUCGACGGCGGUGUUUGGCACCUCGAUGUCGGCUCAUCACAUCCUGGGGCUGAAGUAGGUCCCAAGGGUAUGGCUGUUCGCCAUUUAAAGUGGUACGCGAGCUGGGUUUAGAACGUCGUGAGACAGUUCGGUCCCUAUCUGCCGUGGGCGCUGGAGAACUGAGGGGGGCUGCUCCUAGUACGAGAGGACCGGAGUGGACGCAUCACUGGUGUUCGGGUUGUCAUGCCAAUGGCACUGCCCGGUAGCUAAAUGCGGAAGAGA